rnacentral:rRNA from 1 species
CCUACGGGGCGCAGCAGUGGGGAAUAUUGGACAAUGGGCGAAAGCCUGAUCCAGCCAUGCCGCGUGUGUGAAGAAGGCCUUCGGGUUGUAAAGCACUUUCAGUGGGGAAGAAAGCCUUGGGGCUAAUACCCUCGAGGAAGGACAUCACCCACAGAAGAAGCACCGGCUAACUCCGUGCCAGCAGCCGCGGUAAUACGGAGGGUGCGAGCGUUAAUCGGAAUUACUGGGCGUAAAGCGCGCGUAGGCGGUCUGUUAAGCCGGUUGUGAAAGCCCCGGGCUCAACCUGGGAACGGCAUCCGGAACUGUCAGGCUAGAGUGCAGGAGAGGAAGGUAGAAUUCCCGGUGUAGCGGUGAAAUGCGUAGAGAUAGGGAGGAAUACCAGUGGCGAAGGCGGCCUUCUGGACUGACACUGACGCUGAGGUGCGAAAGCGUGGGUAGCAAACAGGAUUAGAUACCCCAGUAGUC